rnacentral:piRNA from 1 species
GACAACAACGGCGGCCGUGACUAUGCU